AUACGGAGGGUGCAAGCGUUGUUCGGAAUCACUGGGCGUAAAGCGCGUGUAGGCGGCUUGGCAAGUCGAAUGUGAAAGCCCGGGGCCCAACCCCGGAAUUGCAUUCGAAACUGCUUGGCUAGAGUCUCGGAGAGGAAGGCAGAAUUCCCGGUGUAGGGGUGAAAUCCGUAGAUAUCGGGAGGAAUACCAGUGGCGAAGGCGGCCUUCUGGACGAUGACUGACGCUGAGACGCGAAAGCGUGGGGAGCAAACAGGAUUAGAAACCCCUGUAGUCC
rnacentral:rRNA from 1 species